GCCUGGUUGGCUCAGUUGGUUGAGCAUCUGCCUUCGGCUCAGGUCAUGAUCCCAGAGUCCUGGGAUUGAGCCCCACAUCAGGCU
rnacentral:tRNA from 1 species